rnacentral:rRNA from 1 species
AACAGCGACCAAGGAGUCUAACAUGUGCGCAAGUCAUUUGGUUUUAAAACCAAAAGGCAUAACGAAAGUAAAGUAAGCUUAGCUUAAUUAGGGAGGAUAAUUAUUAAACAAUGAUUUAUCAUUGUUUAUAAUUCGCACUCCCGGGGCGUCUAUUACUCAUUGCGAGUAAAGGCGCACCUAGAGCGUACACGUUGGGACCCGAAAGAUGGUGAACUAUGCCUGGCCAGGAUGAAGCCAGGGGAAACCCUGGUGGAGGUCCGUAGCGAUUCUGACGUGCAAAUCGAUCGUCAGAGCUAGGUAUAGGGGCGAUAGACUUAUCGAACUAUCUAGUAGCUGGUUCCUUCCGAAGUUUCCCUCAGGAUAGCUGGUGCCAAUGAUGAUUAGAGUCUCAUCUGGUAAAGCGAAUGAUUAGAGGCCUUGGGGCCGAAACGACCUCAACCUAUUCUCAAACUUUAAAUGGAUGAGAGCCUUGGCUUGCUUAAAAGUGAAGCCAAGGAUUUGGAUCUAGGUGCCAAGUGGGCCAAUUUUGG